UGCAGAGGGGUGAGAAAUAACUCUGUGCUGUCAGGUGGCCUCUGCCCAGCCCCACAGGCAGUGAAUUGUCUCUGCAGGUGCCCCUGGGCAGGGGGAGACAGAGGAUUUCUUAUCAGGAUGCUUGGCUUGAGACCAGCUCUUUCCUCUGAAGAAAGAGACUCUCUUUGCUCUGAUGCUCUGUGCGUUCAGCCCCACAGGCAGUGCUGGCCCUCCUUGACCUGCCUGGGUCUGGGCAGGCAGCACCAGGGCCCUCAUCCUGCCCUGGAUUGGACUUCCUCCAGCUUCCACCUGUCUGUGAUCAUCUCAGCUGCUCUGGGAAAUACGGGCCGUGUCCCAGCUCUCCCUGAACAGCCUCUCUGUUCUGCUUGGUGCGUGGGAAGGACCCUUAUGGGGAUGGGCUAUGGGGGUUGCACCAGGGUCUCUGUGGUAAGGCAGUGGCUUCCCUGGGGCAAGGAAGAGGUCAAGGAGGAGCUGUGGAGCAGGGGGCUCUGCCCAUUGCAUCUGUGAGCAGCCGCAGGUGUGGAAGGAGGACUAAGGGAGGGCAGCAGCUGGGAGGGGCCAGGCAAGGCUGGAGGAAGGUGUGGUUUUCCUGGAGCAAGGGGCUGCCCAGUGCGGGAUGGGUGGGGGGAAUUGCCCUGGAAAGAGGGUGAAGGUGGGUCAGUACUGGGGCUGUGUAGGAGCUGCUUGGGGGCUGUGCAGAAGGUGCCUGGUGCUGGUGACCUCCCUGAGUGCAGCCCUCCAGGUCUGGAGCUACUCGUGGUAAGCGCUGUGUGUGCCUGGACCUGGCCUCCUCUGCUCCUUCCAGUGCCUGUUCCCACCCAUUGAAGAGGUGAACACAAACCAUCCUUUUAUCUGGCAUUAAGCUCAGGCUUUGCCUGCUUCUCUUCUAGACCUGGCUAAGUGCAUUGUGUGCCCAGAAGUUAAUUUCACAUCUCUCUAAUUUGUGUAGUUUAUUAAUUUAAAUGACAACUUCUAUGCCACCUGGGAGCUGAGCCCUGCUUGGUCCUUGGCAGGAGUGGGGAGUGGGGCAUGCAUGUCUGCAGGCCAGAGUGUCUCCUGCUGUGGAGACGCUCAGCUGCAGGGUCCUGGCCCCUGGGAGCGUCUGCAGAGGGAGAACUGUCUGACCCUGGAGAGAACGAGGGGACGACGUCCAUCCCACUAUGCAUAAAUCUGAUGGACCCUUUCCAGGCUGUAAUGGAGGCUAGACAGGUUAGAGAGCAGGCUGGAAAGGGUUAAUGAGGGAGCUAAAUACCUCCCAGCCCUGCAAUCCUUUGCCCAUCAGCUCCAGCUGCUCCAACAGGCUCAGCCCAGCUGCCCUGGGUUGCAGCAGGGAGGCUGUUUGCUGCCGUGGGUGUGCUCCUGCCUUGCUCCUGGGAGAAGCUGUGGGAGGAGCAGCCUGGAGCGGAAGUUGAGGGGAGAGGUGUCUGUCCUCCUGCCCUGGGCUCCAGGUUGGGGUGUCAGAGCUGGAGUCCUGCAGAGAGGCUGGGUUGUGCCCCGAAAUCAGGUGAUGUCGACCCAGUGGCCUGCCUUGGAGAAAAAUGUGGACUUUCCACUUCAAAGGAGAAAACCGAAGGACACAGUGGUUUUCCCCUUGCAGGCUGACAGCCUUGCAGCCUGCAAGGAGCUGUUUGGGGCUAGGGGGGAACUUGUGAGAAGGUAAUUGGAGACAGACAAGGGAUGCCACAUGAGACAACUAGUGUCCACACAUGUGACCAGCAAAAAGCCAGGCAUGGUGGUGGGAGCAGCCCAAGCAGCAAGUGGGUAAGUCUAUGGCAUGCAA